rnacentral:sRNA from 1 species
CCGCUCUAUAAGGUCGGCCACCAUGGUCCUC